rnacentral:snoRNA from 1 species
AAUGUGUACAUGAUGAUUACCAAGCAAUGCAUAGUUCAUCUGAAACUACUGAUGAGACCUAUACCUUCAUAAAGUCUUUCGCUCCCAUCUGAUUACAUCAA